rnacentral:rRNA from 1 species
GAUGAACGCUGGCGGCGUGCUUAACACAUGCAAGUUGAACGAAGUGGCGGAUGGGCGAGUAACACGUGAGGAACCUGCCUUUCACAGGGGAAUAACACUGGGAAACCAGUGCUAAUACCGCAUAGUGAAAGAUGGCCUCGCGCCUGAUUAGCUAGUAGGUGAGGUAACGGCUCACCUAGGUGAUGAUCAGUAGCCGGACUGAGGGUUGAGCGGCCGCAUGGGGACGGAGACACGGACCAGACUCCUACGGGAGGCAGCAGGGGGUAAAAUUGAGCAAGGGCGCAAGGCUGAACCAGCAACGCCGCGUGAAGAGAGACGGUCGUCGGAUUGUAAACUUCUUUGGGCAGAGGCGCGGUACCUGUAGAAUAAGCCACGGCUAACUACGUGCCAGCAGCCGCGGUAAUAC